UACGAAGGGGGCUAGCGUUGCUCGGAAUCACUGGGCGUAAAGCGCACGUAGGCGGAUUGUUAAGUCGGGGGUGAAAUCCUGGAGCUCAACUCCAGAACUGCCUUCGAUACUGGCGAUCUUGAGUCCGGGAGAGGUGAGUGGAACUCCGAGUGUAGAGGUGAAAUUCGUAGAUAUUCGGAAGAACACCAGUGGCGGAGGCGGCUCACUGGCCCGGUACUGACGCUGAGGUGCGAAAGCUAGGGGAGCAAACGGG
rnacentral:rRNA from 1 species